rnacentral:pre_miRNA from 1 species
UUCCAUGGAUGAACAAAGAAAGUGGUUUCUUGAGAUAGAAUCUAUUCCUAGUAGAGAUGCUGUGAA